rnacentral:rRNA from 1 species
GCUUGUCUCAAAGAUUAAGCCAUGCACGUCUAAGUAUAAGCAUUAUACAGCGAAACAGCGAAUGGCUCAUUACAUUAGUUUUAACAUACACGAUGAUCGAUUCUACUUGGAUAACCGUAGUAAUUCUAGAGCUAAUACAUGCAUGAACCCCCGACUUUUGAAGGGGUGUAUUUAUUAGAUUGAAACCAAUGCGGGUUCCCCGGUAUUUGGUGAUUCAUAAUAACUUUCGGAUCGACUUCGGUCGAUGCAUCAUUCAAGUUUCUGCCCUAUCAGCUUUGGAUGGUAGGGUAUUGGCCUACCAUGGCUUUAACGGGUAACGGAGAAUUAGGGUUCGAUUCCGGAGAGGGAGCCUGAGAAAUGGCUACCACAUCCAAGGAAGGCAGCAGG